AGUGAACGCUGGCGGUAGGCCUAACACAUGCAAGUCGAACGGCAGCACAGUAAGAGCUUGCUCUUACGGGUGGCGAGUGGCGGACGGGUGAGGAAUACAUCGGAAUCUACUUUUUCGUGAGGGAUAACGUAGGGAAACUUACGCUAAUACCGCAUACGACCUACGGGUGAAAGCAGGGGAUCUUCGGACCUUGCGCGAUUGAAUGAGCCGAUGUCGGAUUAGCUAGUUGGCGGGGUAAAGGCCCACCAAGGCGACGAUCCGUAGCUGGUCUGAGAGGAUGAGCAGCCACACUGGAACUGAGACACGGUCCAGACUCCUACGGGAGGCAGCAGUGGGGAAUAUUGGACAAUGGGCGCAAGCCUGAUCCAGCCAUACCGCGUGGGUGAAGAAGGCCUUCGGGUUGUAAAGCCCUUUUGUUGGGAAAGAAAAGCAGCAGGUUAAUACCCCGCUGUUCUGACGGUACCCAAAGAAUAAGCACCGGCUAACUUCGUG
rnacentral:rRNA from 1 species